CACGGAGGGUGCAAGCGUUACUCGGAAUCACUGGGCGUAAAGGGCGCGUAGGCGGCCUAGCAAGUCUGGUGUGAAAGCCCAGGGCUCAACCCUGGAAGGGCACUGGAAACUGUUAGGCUUGAGUUCCGGAGAGGAGGGGGGAAGUCCCGGUGUAGCGGUGAAAUGCGUAGAUAUCGGGAGGAAUACCGGUGGCGAAGGCGCCCCUGUGGACGGAAACUGACGCUGAGGCGCGAAAGCGUGGGGAGCAAACAGG
rnacentral:rRNA from 1 species